GAUGAACGCUGGCGGCGUGCUUAACACAUGCAAGUCGAGCGGGGAUUUGAAAUAUCAUUUCCUAGCGGCGGACGGGUGAGUAACGCGUGGGCAACCUGCCCUAUGCAGGGGGAUAACAGUGAGAAAUCACUGCUAAUACCGCAUAAGCCACUUUAACUACACGGUGAAAGUGGGAAAGAUUUAUCGGCAUAGGAUGGGCCCGCGUCUGAUUAGCUAGUUGGAGAGGUAACGGCUCACCAAGGCGACGAUCAGUAGCCGACCUGAGAGGGUGAUCGGCCACAUUGGGACUGAGACACGGCCCAAACUCCUACGGGAGGCAGCAGUGGGGAAUAUUGCACAAUGGGCGAAAGCCUGAUGCAGCAACGCCGCGUGAAGGAAGAAGGCUUUCGGGUCGUAAACUUCUAUCGAUGGGGAAGAAGAAAUGACAGUACCCAAGUAAGAAGCCCCGGCUAACUACGUG
rnacentral:rRNA from 1 species